GAUGAACGCUGGCGGCGUGCCUAAUACAUGCAAGUCGAGCGGAAGGACGCGAAGCUUGCGUCUUUGAUGUUAGGGGAGGACGGGUGUGUAACACGUGGAUAACCUACCUAUCAGACUGGGAAAACUUCGGGAAACGGGAGCUAAUACCGGAGAAUAUUUUGAACCGCAGGGGUGAAAGGUGAAAUACGGCCUUGCUGGCACUUAUCGAUGGAUCCCCGCUGCAUUAGCUAGUUGGUAAGGUAACGGCCUACCAAGGCAAGGAGGCAUAGCCGACCUGAGAGGGUGAUCGGCCGCACUGGAGCGGAGACACGGUCCUGACUCCUGCGGGAGGCAGCAGUCGGGAAUCUUCCGCAAUGGGCGAAAGCCUUGCGGAGCGGCGCCGCGUGUGUUAUGAAGGUCUUCGGAUCGUAAUACUCUGUUAUUAGUGAUGAACAUAUGUGUAAGUAACUGUGCACAUCUUGACGGUACCUAAUCAGAAAGCCCCGGCUAACUACGUG
rnacentral:rRNA from 1 species